rnacentral:lncRNA from 1 species
GCCCUCUGGGCAGUCCCAAGAAAAGCUAUGGCUACAAUUGGUCCAUGUAAAGUAGAAGGAAGGCACAGGAAAUGACGAAAGGAAGGGUCUUUAAAAGUGGCAAGAACUUCCUGUGACUAGCUCUUUUGCCUUUGAACUUGACUUUGAAGGAGCUCCGGCUUGGGACCUUGGACUGCUCUUCAAUUUUGCCCUAGAACUACCACGUGGAUUUCUUCUUUGUUGUUGUGAAACAGAGAAAUGACUAACGGGUUGGGGAAUGGCUGAAAU